UACAGAGGGUGCGAGCGUUAAUCGGAAUUACUGGGCGUAAAGGGUGCGUAGGUGGUUGUGUAAGUUAGGUGUGAAAUUCCUGGGCUUAACCUGGGGACUGCGCCUGAUACUGCACGGCUAGAGUACUGUAGAGGAAGGUGGAAUUUCCAGUGUAGCGGUGAAAUGCGUAGAUAUUGGAAGGAACAUCGGUGGCGAAGGCGACCUUCUGGACAGAUACUGACACUGAGGCACGAAAGCAUGGGGAGCAAAC
rnacentral:rRNA from 1 species